UACGGGGGGAGCAAGCGUUGUUCGGAUUUACUGGGCGUAAAGGGCGCGUAGGCGGCCUACUAAGUCGGACGUGAAAUCCCCGGGCUCAACCCGGGAACUGCGUCCGAUACUGGAAGGCUUGAAUCCGGGAGAGGGAUGCGGAAUUCCAGGUGUAGCGGUGAAAUGCGUAGAUAUCUGGAGGAACACCGGUGGCGAAGGCGGCAUCCUGGACCGGCAUUGACGCUGAGGCGCGAAAGCCAGGGGAGCAAACGGG
rnacentral:rRNA from 1 species